UUCGAUCUCAAACGCACGAUGACAUUUCUUCAUAUUCUGUUUCAGAUUCGACAUCAAACGCACGAUGACAACAGGUGAAAUCUCAGAGAAAAGUUGGUAAUUUGAAGGAAUCAGUGAAUCAUCUGAAAUGUGGUCAAUUUGAAGGAAUAAUACCAGAUAGGUUGCUGUGAAAAAGUAUGCUCUGAAGAUUGCUGUGAAGAUUUUGUGCUUCCAUGCUAACACGUUUCGUGAUAGAAGUAAUGGCUGGAUCGGUAGCAUACAACAUGGCGAGUAGGCUUAGUUUUUAAAACGUUCCAUGCAAACAAUAGUAGUAAAGACUAUGUUUUUGCUUUUCCGAUAUGUG
rnacentral:lncRNA from 1 species